rnacentral:rRNA from 1 species
GACGUAGGGCGCGAGCGUUGUCCGGAUUUAUUGGGCGUAAAGAGCUCGUAGGCGGCUUGUCGCGUCGACCGUGAAAACUUGGGGCUCAACCCCAAGCCUGCGGUCGAUACGGGCAGGCUAGAGUUCGGUAGGGGAGAAUGGAAUUCCUGGUGUAGCGGUGAAAUGCGCAGAUAUCAGGAGGAACACCGGUGGCGAAGGCGGUUCUCUGGGCCUUACCUGACACUGAGGAGCGAAAGCGUGGGGAGCGAACAGG